AGAACGUUUCAACACAAUCCAAGUCCGGACGUGGAACCUCACCGCACACGCAACACGGCAGCUUACAGCUAACAGGUUUGAAGAAAUUCUACCUCGGUGGAGAAAUUUGUUUGUCGGAGUCCGUAUCCCGAAGUUUCCAAGCCGGCUUUUAGUUGCAAUGCGGCCACACAAACUCUGGAUUGUUGUUGUUUUUUUGUUUGUCUUUUUUGUUAUUUUGCCCCCAUGGCAGGUGAGCUAGCGUGAGGUAGUGUGCAAGCUUCACCCGAUGCCGGGAAGAGUGUUAUGACUUGUCUAGAGUUCUCACUGUUGCUCCCAGUGUCCGGGGAGACGUUGGAGAUGAAUCCGGUUUUCUUUGAAGUUGGGUCUGUGAUUUGGACAUCCCACUUGGAGACUACUUCUACCUGGCCUCUCUCCCCCAGACACUGAUGGCACCAGUUGCGAUGAAGUCCCUGCUUGGCCACACUUAAUCUUUUCUCAGGCGGCAGUGCGGAAGAGAAUAUCGAGUCGCACAAGUCUUGUGUACCGAGAGCCGGCAUGUUGACAAAGCUGAGACCUGAGAGAUGGCACUGGUCCCAUGUGUACAUUGCAGGGUAACCUGGGUGGUGGGCCGGUGGCGGUGCAGACAUUGUGGAAGGAGGGAGCCUGGAAGAAAAGAUCUGAAAGCACGGGAAAGACGAUCACAUGAUUAGCGCAGAAAAAGGGUGAAGGUGCCUUGGGAAAGUGAUCAACAUGGUAGUACAAGUUAACGAGGGCCCUUCAGUGCUUUUCCCACUUCAUUUUCAAACUGUACAUGUAAUCUAUCACGGUGAACGAAAGCCGUGGUGGAAUAAAGCUUUUUGCGGCACAUAGUCAUGGGCAAGUUGCCUUGUAUUGCUCAAGGGGUAAAAAAGAUGUGAGCAGUGCAACAGCAUGCACAAACUAUGGUUUUUCCCAGAAUAUGCAAGGCUUUCACUCCAUUU